AUGGCGAAGAAGGGGAAGGACGCCGCCGAGCCCGACGCCAAGGCGGCGGCCGUCCGCUCCCUCUUCUCCGCCGACAACCCCUUCCGCCGCAAGGAGUCCGCUCCCCCACCGACCCCCGCGUCCGCAUCCGCCGCCGUCCCCAAGCCGGCGCGCAAGCCCCGGAGGUGGCCCGAGGCGGAGGCGGAGGCGGAGGCGGAGCCCGCGGUGCCGUCCCGGAGGAAGCGGAGCGAGGAGGAUGGGGAGGGCCCGGCGCGGCGCAAGCGGAAGCGGGACGAGGUGGAGUCCGGCUACGAGCGGCGGACGCUGGGGGCGGCGCCCGCGGACAACGAGGAGCGGCCGCGGCCGGUCGUCGGGGCCAAGAGGAAGGCGCCCCACGACGUCGAGGCGGCGGCCUCCGGCGGGGAGUCGGAGGACGAGGCGUUCGACGACGAGGGCAAGCUGCUCAGGACGGUCUUCGUGGGGAACCUGCCGCUGCGGACCAAGCGCAAGGCGCUCACCAAGGAGUUCGCCGCCUUCGGCGAGGUCGACUCCGUCAGGAUCCGCUCUGUGCCCCUCGGCGACACCAAGAUUCCGCGGAAGGGAGCCGUCAUCAAAGGCAAGAUCAAUGACUUGGUCGACAAUGUACAUGCCUACAUCGUCUUCAAAGAUGAGCAGUGUGCGCGGACAGCUUUAUCUCAUAAUAUGGCACUGUUCAAUGGCAAUCACAUCCGUGUUGACAUGGCGUGUCCGCCUCGUAAAAAGCUAAGAGGAGAAGGACCUCUUUAUGACAGAAAGAGGACAGUGUUUGUUGGUAACCUUCCAUUCGAUGUAAAGGAUGAGGAGCUCUACCAGCUCUUCUGCGGUCCCAGUGGACCACAAGGUGAUGUUGAAGCUAUACGAGUUGUCAGAGAUCCAGAUUCAAGCCUAGGAAAGGGUAUCGCUUAUGUUCUAUUCAAAACAAGGGAAGCUGCUAACUCUGUUGUGAAAAAACGUGGCCUUAAGAUCAGAGACCGCUUUUUGAGGCUCACCCAUGCAAAGGCAGCCGACGCGACGCCGAAGGCAGAUUCUGGGAAAAAGCGCGGCACUCCAAAACAGAAGACACCUUUCACGCCAGGCAGCAAGUCUCGCGAAGGCAGCGACAGUAACAAACGCAAGGCGCCGGCAAGCCUGUCUUACCAAGGCCUGAAGUCGACCAAAUCCGGCGUCGUGAAGAAGGUGAAGGUGGCCCGGCGCCCCAUCAACCAAGGGAAGCAGCAAGGCAGGCCUAGCGAGACGGGACAAAGCGAGAGUGCCCGCAAGGCCAAGCGGCCCGCCGUGGCAGCAAGGAAGGCGAAGCAGCUGAACAAGAAGCGCAAGCAGGACGGCUCGACGCCCGAGAACACGCACCGGAGCAAGAAGGCGAGGAAGUAG
rnacentral:rRNA from 1 species